rnacentral:rRNA from 1 species
CACGAACGCUGGCGGCAGGCUUAACACAUGCAAGUCGAGCGCCCCGCAAGGGGAGCGGCAGACGGGUGAGUAACGCGUGGGAAUCUACCCAUCUCUACGGAAUAACGCAUGGAAACGUGUGCUAAUACCGUAUACGUCCUUCGGGAGAAAGAUUUACCGGAGAUGGAUGAGCCCGCGUUGGAUUAGCUAGUUGGUGGGGUAAAGGCCUACCAAGGCGACGAUCCAUAGCUGGUCUGAGAGGAUGAUCAGCCACACUGGGACUGAGACACGGCCCAGACUCCUACGGGAGGCAGCAGUGGGGAAUAUUGGACAAUGGGCGCAAGCCUGAUCCAGCCAUGCCGCGUGAGUGAUGAAGGCCCUAGGGUUGUAAAGCUCUUUCACCGGUGAAGAUAAUGACGGUAACCGGAGAAGAAGCCCCGGCUAACUUCGUGCCAGCAGCCACCGUAACAC